rnacentral:tRNA from 1 species
UGCUCCGGUAGUGUAGAUCGGUCAAUCAUGCCGGCCUUUCGAGCCGGUGACUCGGGUUCAAAUCCCGACCGGAGCAU